rnacentral:rRNA from 1 species
GACGAACGCUGGCGGCGUGCUUAACACAUGCAAGUCGAACGGAAAGGCCCUGCUUUUGUGGGGUGCUCGAGUGGCGAACGGGUGAGUAACACGUGAGUAACCUGCCCUUGACUUUGGGAUAACUUCAGGAAACUGCGGCUAAUACCGGAUAGGAGCUCCUGCUGCAUGGUGGGGGUUGGAAAGUUUCGGCGGUUGGGGAUGGACUCGCGGCUUAUCAGCUUGUUGGUGGGGUAGUGGCUUACCAAGCCUUUGACGGGUAGCCGGCCUGAGAGGGUGACCGGCCACAUUGGGACUGAGAUACGGCCCAGACUCCUACGGGAGGCAGCAGUGGGGAAUAUUGCACAAUGGGCGGAAGCCUGAUGCAGCAACGCCGCGUGCGGGAUGACGGCCUUCGGGUUGUAAACCGCUUUCGCCUGUAACGAAGCGUGAGUGACGGUAAUGGGUAAAGAAGCACCGGCUAACUACGUG